CUUAGGCAAAGUUAAGUGGGUAUGUAUAUAUAGACUUAUAAUGAUUAACUUCACUUUCAUCCAUCUUUUCUUGAACCCAAUUCAACCCAUGCUUGUGGAACCGUCAGGGUUUUAAGUCCUCAACGUAAGUUCCGACCCAGUCGCUCCUUCGCUUCCAUUUCUCCUGCUUUCGUCUCUCUUUCCCGUCGCUCUAAUCUGACCCGUGCGGAUCAAGAAGAGACACACUCCCUCAGUGGGUCUUGAACAGUAUAUAAUUCGCUGUUCAUGGUCCUGUCUCUCUCGUCUUGCAGUUCCAUAUAGCACUUCACAGCGUGUUGCAAUUUCAGUGCCUUUUCAACUUUCUGGUGGUUGUGCAUCGUGGGGUAGAUUCUAGAGUGGAAGAAUGAGAGGCCAGAGAUGAUACUGGGAUUCGAAGUAUUCAAUGGCAAUAAGAAAAGUCAAUAGUGAAAAUGCAUUCCUUUUCGAGAGCACUUCCUCAUUUGUGCAAAAAUUGUAUUGGACCAUCUUCAUUGAAUGUUCCCUCCAUUUAUAGCCGGUGGCUUCUUCAGAUCCCCAAGUUUAAUUCUUCCACACCCUUUACUCAUGAACAGUUUCGUUCAUCUGAAAUUCCGUCACAACCCAGUCCAAAUUACAGACCAACCGAACCUGGGAACUGCAACACUUCUCAAGCAGGCUCAAAAGCUGGACCAGGCCCUGUCUACCUUGAAAACAUCCAUGACAAUUGUGCAGAUGAAGGAAGGCGUGAUGAGUUUGCCACAGAUGUGGAAAAGAUAUAUAGGAUUCUGAGGAACUUUCAUUCUAGAGCUCCCAAAAUGGAGCUUGCCUUACAAGAAUCUGGAAUUAUCAUGCGGUCAGGAUUGACAGAGCGAGUGUUGAACCGCUGUGGUGAUGCAGGCAAUUUGGGUUACAGCUUCUUUGUGUGGGCUUCAAAGCAGCCGGGUUAUAGGCAUAGCUAUGAUGUCUAUAAAGCAAUGGUUAGGAUUUUAGGGAAAAUGAGGCAUUUCGGUGCUGUCUGGGCUUUACUUGAGGAGAUGAGAAAGGAGAACCCUCAGUUGAUAUCACCAGAGCUGUUCAUUAUCUUGAUGAGGAGGUUUGCGUCAUCCAGAAUGGUGAAGAAAGCGAUAGAAGUCCUGGAUGAGAUGCCCAAGUAUGGCUGUGAGCCAGAUGAAUAUGCAUUUGGUUGCUUGUUGGAUGCUUUGUGUAAAAAUGGUAGUGUAAAAGAAGCAGCUGCUUUGUUCGGAGAAAUGAAAUAUCGGUUCACACCAGGUAUUAAGCACUUCACAUCACUGCUUUAUGGCUGGUGUAGAGAAGGGAAGCUUUUGGAGGCAAAACAUGUGUUGGUGCAAAUGAGAGAGGCUGGUUUUGAACCAGAUAUUGUGGUCUACAACAAUCUCCUGAGUGGAUAUGCGCGUGCGCACAAAAUGGCAGAUGCAUACGAUCUGUUGAAAGAGAUGAAGCGAAAAGGUUGUGAGCCUAACACAGCUUCUUAUACUACUCUAAUACAAGCUCUAUGUUCUCGAGAAAAAAUGGAGGAGGCUGCGCGCAUGUUGCUUGAGAUGCACAGGAGCAACUGCGAGGCAGAUGGUGUGACGUACGCUACACUGAUUAGUGGCUUUUGCAAAUGUGGUAAACUUGAUAAUGCUUAUGAGCUACUGGAUAGGAUGAUACAGCAAGGUCAUACCCCAUGUGCAACAACUUAUUUGCCUAUUAUGUUGGCUCAUGAGAAGAAUGAGGAGCUGGAAGAGUGUUUGGAACUCAUCGAGGAAAUGAAGAAGAUCGGUUGUGUUCCCGACAUUAGCAUCUACAAUGUGUUGAUCAGGUUAGCAUGUAAGCUGGCAGAGAUUAAGGAAGGUGUUGAGCUUUGGAAUCAAAUGGAAACAAGUGGGCUUAGUCCAGGUCUGGACAGUUUUGUUAUCAUGAUUCAUGGACUCAUGGCACACGGUCAUCUAGUUGAAGCAUGCGAUUAUUUUAAAGAGAUGGUGGGAAGAGGUCUUUUAUCAGCUCCUAAUUAUGGCACAUUGAAAGACUUGCUAAAUUCUCUUUUAAGAGCAGAAAAACUUGAAAUGGCUAAAGACGUUUGGAAUUGCAUUGUGACGAAAGGAUGUGAUCUCAAUGUUUAUGCCUGGACAAUCUGGAUUCAUGCACUCUUCUCAAAUGGGCAUGUUAAAGAGGCGUGUUCGUAUUGCUUGGACAUGAUGGAUGCAGAUGUAAUGCCGCAACCAGAUACAUUUGCUAAGCUCAUGCGGGGCCUUAGGAAGCUGUAUAACCGACAAAUUGCAGCAGAGAUAACCGAGAAAGUGAGAAAGAUGGCUGCCGAUAGACAGAUCACUUUUAAGAUGUACAAAAGGCGAGGUGAGAGAGACUUGAAAGAAAAAAUCAAGGCAAAAGGGGAUGGGAGGAAGACGAGGGCUCAGAGACGCCGGCGGGGGCGGCGCCCUGGCCAUGCUAAAGCAGAUAUCUCAUCAGGGCUCAGUUGAUGGGAUCCUGCAUGCUAGUGCAGGGUGGGGGAGUGUCAGGAGCUAACAUUGUGGAAAUUGUUCGAUUCGUUACGCUUAUUCAGGGUUGUGUACCCGCCAGACGCCUCAAAGGUUUAGAAACAUAGAGACCUACACCCCGAGUUGGGGCUUGGCUGAGACAUCGGGAGUUUUCAGCUCAAGAAUUAAAGGUCACCAUUGAAUUCAUAAUUGCGUGCAAAUUGCUAUUCAUUAUGACCGCAUAUACGACUAAAGCCCAGAAUUUAAUUGAAGCCCUGAAUUUAACUGAAUCAUAAGGCUUGCACGUUGCUCCACAAGCCUUUCAGGUUGUCAGACCG